GUAUAGACCCGAAACCCGGUGAUCUAGCCAUGGGCAGGUUGAAGGUUGGGUAACACUAACUGGAGGACCGAACCGACUAAUGUUGAAAAAUUAGCGGAUGACUUGUGGCUGGGGGUGAAAGGCCAAUCAAACCGGGAGAUAGCUGGUUCUCCCCGAAAGCUAUUUAGGUAGCGCCUCGUGAACUCAUCUUCGGGGGUAGAGCACUGUUUCGGCUAGGGGGCCAUCCCGGCUUACCAAACCGAUGCAAACUCCGAAUACCGAAGAAUGUUAUCACGGGAGACACACGGCGGGUGCUAACGUCCGUCGUGAAGAGGGAAACAACCCAGACCGCCAGCUAAGGUCCCAAAGUCAUGGUUAAGUGGGAAACGAUGUGGGAAGGCACAGACAGCCAGGAUGUUGGCUUAGAAGCAGCCAUCAUUUAAAGAAAGCGUAAUAGCUCACUGGUCGAGUCGGCCUGCGCGGAAGAUGUAACGGGGCUAAACCAUGCACCGAAGCUGCGGCAGCGACACUUAGGUGUUGUUGGGUAGGGGAGCGUUCUGUAAGCCGUUGAAGGUGACCUGUGAGGGUUGCUGGAGGUAUCAGAAGUGCGAAUGCUGACAUAAGUAACGAUAAUGCGGGUGAAAAACCCGCACGCCGGAAGACCAAGGGUUCCUGUCCAACGUUAAUCGGGGCAGGGUGAGUCGACCCCUAAGGCGAGGCUGAAAAGCGUAGUCGAUGGGAAACAGGUUAAUAUUCCUGUACUUGGUGUUACUGCGAAGGGGGGACGGAGAAGGCUAGGCUGGCCGGGCGACGGUUGUCCCGGUUUAAGCGUGUAGGGGGAGUGACCAGGUAAAUCCGGUUGCUUAUCAACCCUGAGGCGUGAUGACGAUGCACCACGGUGCAGAAGCAGUUGAUGCCAUGCUUCCAGGAAAAGCCUCUAAGCAUCAGGUAACAUUAAAUCGUACCCCAAACCGACACAGGUGGUCAGGUAGAGAAUACUCAGGCGCUUGAGAGAACUCGGGUGAAGGAACUAGGCAAAAUGGUGCCGUAACUUCGGGAGAAGGCACGCUGGCGUUAGGUGAAAGGACUAGCUCCUGGAGCUGAAGCCAGUCGCAGAUACCAGCUGGCUGCAACUGUUUAAUAAAAACACAGCACUGUGCAAACACGAAAGUGGACGUAUACGGUGUGACGCCUGCCCGGUGCUGGAAGGUUAAUUGAUGGGGUCAGCCGCAAGGCGAAGCUCUUGAUCGAAGCCCCAGUAAACGGCGGCCGUAACUAUAACGGUCCUAAGGUAGCGAAAUUCCUUGUCGGGUAAGUUCCGACCUGCACGAAUGGCGUAAUGAUGGCCAGGCUGUCUCCACCCGAGACUCAGUGAAAUUGAACUCGCUGUGAAGAUGCAGUGUACCCGCGGCAAGACGGAAAGACCCCGUGAACCUUUACUAUAGCUUGACACUGAACAUUGAGCCUUGAUGUGUAGGAUAGGUGGGAGGCCUUGAAGUGUGGACGCCAGUCUGCAUGGAGCCAACCUUGAAAUACCACCCUUUAAUGUUUGAUGUUCUAACUCGGCCCCAUGAUCUGGGGUGAGGACAGUGUCUGGUGGGUAGUUUGACUGGGGCGGUCUCCUCCCAAAGAGUAACGGAGGAGCACGAAGGUUAGCUAAUCACGGUCGGACAUCGUGAGGUUAGUGCAAAGGCAUAAGCUAGCUUGACUGCGAGAGUGACGGCUCGAGCAGGUACGAAAGUAGGUCUUAGUGAUCCGGUGGUUCUGAAUGGAAGGGCCAUCGCUCAACGGAUAAAAGGUACUCCGGGGAUAACAGGCUGAUACCGCCCAAGAGUUCAUAUCGACGGCGGUGUUUGGCACCUCGAUGUCGGCUCAUCACAUCCUGGGGCUGAAGUAGGUCCCAAGGGUAUGGCUGUUCGCCAUUUAAAGUGGUACGCGAGCUGGGUUUAGAACGUCGUGAGACAGUUCGGUCCCUAUCUGCCGUGGGCGUUGGAAGAUUGAGAGGGGCUGCUCCUAGUACGAGAGGACCGGAGUGGACGAAUCACUGGUGUUCGGGUUGUCAUGCCAAUGGCAUUGCCCGGUAGCUAAAUUCGGAAGAGAUAACCGCUGAAAGCAUCUAAGCGGGAAACUUGCCUCGAGAUGAGUCUUCCCUGGGGCUUAAAGCCCCCUGAAGGAACGUUAAAGACUAUGACGUUGAUAGGCUGGGUGUGUAAGUGCAGCGAUGUAUUGAGCUAACCAGUACUAAUGAUCCGUGAGGCUUAACCUU
rnacentral:rRNA from 1 species